ACACACACAAUGAUGCUCCGUUCUGUCCUUCUAAUUUCUGCAUUUGCAUGUGCAACGCAUGGAAAUGAAAUCAAACCAACCAAAACUUUGGAGUUUGCUGAGGAGGGUUCAAGUGUUGCAUUAUCCUGCAGUUAUUCAUCUGCAUCAACUCUCUACUGGUACCGUCAGUAUCCCGGAUCAGCUCCUGAGUUUAUUUUGUUCAUCUCAGACAGAUCAACACAAGAUCAGAAGUCUAUUGUAGAUUCCAGAUUCACUGCCAAAGUCACCAAAGACAAAGAAAACCAUGUGGAUCUGGAGAUCUCCUCUGUAUCUAUAUCAGACUCUGCUCUGUACUACUGCGCUCUGGAGCCCACAUUGACAGGAAACACAAGAACACUGUACAAAAACCUGAUACACACUUUUGCAUCUACAUCACACAUAUCCUACCUCCAUAUCUGCUAUGCUGUAGGUGUGAUGGCUGCAGAAGAGAUUGGGCCAAACAAGGGUGAAAAUGUCCUCAGUACAGAAGGAGAUUCUGUGACACUGAGCUGCUCAUAUGAUACAAGCAGCAGAUAUGUUACACUUUACUGGUACAGACAGUAUCUUAAUGGAGAACCUCAGUAUUUAAUAUGGAAAUAUUGGUAA